UACGAAGGGGGCUAGCGUUGUUCGGAAUUACUGGGCGUAAAGCGCGCGCAGGCGGCUAUCCAAGUCAGUGGUGAAAGCCCGGAGCUCAACUCCAGAACUGCCUUCGAUACUGGAAGACUUGAGUCCGGGAGAGGUGAGUGGAACUGCGAGUGUAGAGGUGAAAUUCGUAGAUAUUCGCAAGAACACCAGUGGCGAAGGCGGCUCACUGGCCCGGUACUGACGCUGAGGUGCGAAAGCGUGGGGAGCAAACAGG
rnacentral:rRNA from 1 species